CGGUCACACUGGGACUGAGACACGGCCCAGACUCCUACGGGAGGCAGCAGCUAAGAAUCUUCCGCAAUGGUCGAAAGGCUGACGGAGCGACGCCGCGUGGACGAAGAAUGCCGGAAGGUUGUAAAGUCCUUUUCUCAGAGAAGAAUAAUGUGGGGAGGGAAUGCCCUACAGAUGACGUUAUCUGAGGAAGAAGCCCCGGCUAAUUACGUGCCAGCAGCCGCGGUAACACGUAAGGGGCAAGCGUUGUUCGGAAUUAUUGGACGUAAAGGGCGCGUAGGCGGCUGAGCAAGCCUGGUGUGAAAGGCCACAGCUUAACUGUGGGAGUGCGCUGGGAACUGCUUGGCUGGAGUUCAGGAGGGGAAUCUGGAAUUCCUGGUGUAGGGGUGAAAUCUGUAGAUAUCAGGAAGAACACCUGUGGCGAAGGCGAGAUUCUGGCCAUGAACUGACGCUGAGGCGCGAAAGCGUGGGGAGCGAACAGGAUUAGAUACCCUGGUAGUCCACGCUGUAAACGAUGUGCACUAGGUGUUGGCUGUUGUAACGGUCAGUGCCGAAGCAAACGCGAUAAGUGCACCGCCUGGGGAGUAUGCUCGCAAGGGUGAAACUCAAAGGAAUUGACGGGGGCCCGCACAAGCGGUGGAGCAUGUGGUUUAAUUCGAUGAUACGCGAGGAACCUUACCAGGGCUUGACAUAUGCAUGACGGUCGUAGAGAUACGGCUUCCCUUCGGGGCGUGCAUACAGGUGCUGCAUGGUUGUCGUCAGCUCGUGCUGUGAGGUGUUGGGUUAAGUCCCGCAACGAGCGCAACUCCUGCUGUCUGUUACCAGCACGUAAUGGUGGGGACUCAGACGGUACUGCCGGUGACAAACCGGAGGAAGGUGGGGAUGACGUCAAAUCAUCAUGGCCCUUAUGUCCUGGGCUACACACGUGCUACAAUGGUCGGUACAGAGCGAGGCAAAACCGCGAGGUGGAGCAAAUCGCAGAAAGCCGGUCUCAGUACGGAUUGGAGUCUGAAACCCGACUUCAUGAAGUUGGAAUCGCUAGUAAUCGCGCAUCAGCAUGGCGCGGUGAAUACGUUCCCGGGCCUUGUACACACCGCCCGUCACACCACCCGAGUUGGGGGUACCCGAAGUCGCUCGUCUAACCGGUUACGGAGGACGGCGCCGAAGG
rnacentral:rRNA from 1 species